AGCUGACACUGCCAGAAGUUACGCGACGUCAUUGUGCCGUCCAUAAUAAAUAAUAAACAAACACAAAUCUUAUGCGAACGGGAGUUUUUAACGAUUAAGGAUGAGUAAACUUAAACCUGAGAAUAAAGAAGAAUACUUAGCCAAAAAGAGAGAGCAGGCCAAGUUAUGGUAUCAAAAUAUUAAAAACAACCCAGAAUCAUAUGCGGAAUAUCAAAGGAAAAAUAGACAAAAAUAUGAAAAAAGGCUGGCGCGAAAAAAAUAGUCCCAAGAAGUGAGAUGACAUCUACACAGCAAAGAAAGCAGAGGAAGAAAUGGAGGGAAGAAUCAAAGCGAAAAUAUCAACGAAUGAAAGGCAAGAAAGGAAGAGAUAAACAAUCAGGGACUGAAAACAGUUCACCAGAAGAUGACAGUUACCCCGUUCAUUUAAUAGAAACCAUAAUACUACCUAAGCCGGAGAAUACCGAAGAAGAUUUCACCAUAAAGACAGAUAGUCAGGAUCUAAUCAACCAAGACAUUGAAGAUAAUCUGGAAUAAAAUCAGAUUACCAAAGUAGACAUGAAAAUAAUACAAUGCGCGAACAUAUUCCUACAACAGAAAAUACAUCUUGUCAGCAAAAAAAUCAAAUGAAAGAACUAGAUAAAGAUAAAAACGAAAACCUCAAACAUGAGAUCAUUGAAGAAGUUUUCACCGUAAAGAUGGAAAGUGAGGACCUAAGCUACCAAAGUAUCAAUGACAAUCCGGAAUUAAAUUUGAGUG